rnacentral:lncRNA from 1 species
UUUUUUUUUUUUUUUUUAGGGCCGCACCUGCAGCAUAGGGAAUGUCCCAGGAAGCUAGGGGUCCAAUCAGAAAUGCACCUGCUGGCCUACACCACAGCCAGAGUGACCCCAGAUCCAGCAAGUCUGGAUCCUCGACCCACUCACUGGUCAAGGCCAGGGGUUGAAUCCGCAUCCUCAUGGGUACUUGUCAGGUUAGUAACCCACUGAGCCACAAACGGAACUCCUCCAUUCUUAAUUCUAGUGUGGCUUCACAGAACCCUUUCCCAGUCUGCCCACCAUGACUGCUUAACAAAUAAAGAUUCAGGGAAUACAAAUGAGAGAAGGAAUGUAGGAGUCCGGGCUGUGGCGCAACAGGAUUGAUGGCGUCUCUACAGCUCUGGGAAGCAGGUUUGAACCCCGGGCCAGCCCAAUGGCUAAGGAUCUGGGGUUGCCGCCGCUGAAGCAUAGGUCGCAUCUGCGGCUGGGAUCUGAUCCCUGGCCUAGCUUAGUGGGUUAAGGAUCAGGUGUUGCCGUGAGCAGUGGUGUAGGCUGGCAGCUGCAGCUUCGAUUCAACCCCUAGCCUGGGAACUUCCCACGUGCCACAGGUGCAACCCUGAAGAGAAAAAACAAAAAGAAUUUUAUAUUCCAUGGCUGCAUAUAAGUGGGGAUUUGGUGUUUUUUAAUACUUGGUAAUGGAUUACAUAUGUAAUCCUUGGUCUCUCGAUUAAUAGUAAGUACUUAAUGAGUGCUUGGUGAACACUGAAUUCAUGUGGUGGUGGAGAAUUAACAGUUUUUAAAAAAAAAUCUCUCUAACACGUUAGAUUGCCUGAGAGAAGAAUGGAGAAGAGGUUAGCAUUAAAUGUUACGUAAAGUAAAUGGUUACAUCAUGAGCCAUCGGUUUAUUAAUUUGCAUUUAUUUAUUCAGUAAGCACUUUGGGGGCAUCUAUUAUGUGCCUGGUCUAGUCAGGAAACGAACCCCAGGGAACAGAAAAUCAGGGGUACUAAGUGUGCUGAGUGAGAACAAAGGAUUAUGCACAGGCUUCCCUACUGGUGGCCAAAUAUUUAGCCACAGGGACCACGACCCUCAGGCAGCUGUUUCCUGUAGAAGCAAUUGCUCAUAAAUCCUUUAAUCUGAACCCAAUAAAUGGCUCGUGUCCUAGAGCAGGGCACAGGGCAAGCCCCGGAACUAGAGCACUUGGUUUCAAAUACUGGUUUCCCUCAAUAAAACAUAUACAAAGGGCUAGCUCAGAGCCCGUAAAGGGUCAACGAUAAUAAAACGAUUGUUGUUAUGAAUUGUGCAAGUCUGUUUUGAAUUGGAAGUGGGAUAAAGAGGACUAUUGUAUUUGCCCUUCAUGUGUAUUACUUGUUUCAUUUUAUAAUAAUCCCAUUUUGCAGAGGGGAAAACUGAGGUUCUGAGAGCAGAAGUAACGUAUCCAUGGAAGCACUGGGGCUUUUUCUUUUAUUCUGAUUUGGAAUUCUACACCAUACCUGUGGUCCCAGCCUGCCAUUCAGGAAACAGGAAUAACUACCAAGUAGGAACCUUUCUGGCAGAUCCAACUGAGCACACACCCAAAAUGUCAUGGCCGUUUUGUUCUCUCAUAUUUUGUUCUUUUUUCAUAAAAUGGAAACCCUGGCUUUUCCAUUGGAAGCCAAAAGCUUAGAGCUGAGGAAGAGUUGUUACGUUAUACUUUUAUUUUGCAGGCUUUCAGGCCUGGUGAUUGCAGCGCGAUGAUUUUCAAAAUUCUUUUAAGGGGAAAAGAAAGUGUUACUAUCAGUUGUUUACACUGAUUUAAAAGGUAGAGGAGUUGCUCAGUGGCCCGGUGGGUUAAGGAUCUGGCACUGUCACUGCUGUGGCUUGUGUUGCUGCUGUGGUGCGGAUCCAAUCCCUGGCUUGGGAAUCAAACACCCUACAUGCCACAGGUAUGGCCAAAAGAAAAGCAGAAAAGAAAAAAAUAGAAACCCAGAAACUUACCCAUGAGGAAAUGACAAAAAGUAUCUUAACACGACAUUUCCAUGGGGCCAUUCAGGGGUAAUGCUCCAGACCAGCUUGAACAAGCUAAGGAUUAAAAUUUCAUGUGACAUGUAGAUUCUUCUCAUUCCCAAGUGAUAUGGGAUCAGUUUAAUGAGAGACAGACUGGCUAGGGAAGCUAAAUUGUUCAAGGCAUUAGAAAAUUAUUUGAAAACUGUGAUAGAACUAGUGAGUUAUAUUUUAUUUUGAAUUAAAAUCACAUUAACGAUUUAUCCUGAGCUCAGAUAUUUGCAGGGUCAAAUGGCAAUAGUGGCGGAGUUCUCUUCUGGUGCAGUGGGUUAUGGAUCUGGUAUGGUCCCCGCAGCGGCUUGGUUGCUGCUGUGGUGCAGGUUUGAUCCCUGGCCUGGGAACUUUUCCAUACCAUGGGUGGAGCUGGAAAAAAAGGGCGGCUUUGGAGUUGGACAAAUGGCGAUUUGAAACCUGACUGCACGCUUAGACAUUGAUCACUUUGAGGAAGUCAUUGCAGGUCUCAGGACUCAUUUCCAUCAUUUGUAAAUCUGGGAUACCAGCCCCCACUCAUAAGUUAUUGCGAGGAUCAAAUAGCAGCCGUAAAGUGCCCAGCAAAUUGCCCAGACCAAAUAGGCCUUAGCAUGUGUCCCUUGUCCUUUUUUAUUUGCUGAGUGAUUGGAACUCACUGUAUGGGCACUGCUAGCACGUAACUCAUCCUGGAGUUCCUGCUGCAGUGCAAUGGGAUGGGCAGCAUCUCUGGAGGACCAGGAUGCAGGUUCAGUCCCUGGCAGAGCACAGUGGGUUAAAGGAUCCCGAGUUGCAGCGUAGGUUGCAACUGAGGCUCUGUUCUGAUCCCUGGCCUGGGAACUCCAUAUGCCUCUGGGUGGCCAAAAACAACAACAAAUAAGAAAAAACAAAAACAGCAACAACAAAUCAGUCAUCCCUCCAACCCACCUCUACAAAGGAGGCUGACACCCAGGGAGGUUAAAUAGCCAGCACUUGGAACCACAGGUCUGAUAAGUAGGCAGAACUGGAACUGGAACACAGAGAACCCAGGCAAUCAGGCCAGUGGUCCCUGCACCACGCUGCUUGCUUUUACUUUGAGAGGAGAAUGUGUACUUUUAUGGAAAGAACAAAAGGAAGGGUGUCAGCUAGAAAAAUAUCCUUGCAUUUUAGGAUCCGUUUUGAAAUGUUUAUAAUAACCAUCUUUGGUCAUGUUCAAUACAGCACAACCUGCUCCUUCUCCUUCACCCAGUUCUGAUAUGCAGGCAACUUGUGGAAGAAGCAGCAGAAUGCUGUCAGACUAGCUCAUCUCCCCAGCUGCCCCUGGACCACCCAGCUCCAAUUCUGAGCUGUUUCUCCAGAGCAUGGCCUCGCAAGCACAGCAAUCAAGCAGUUGAAUCAGGAAUGUUUUAUUUAUGGCUUUAAUAGUGGCGUCUCUUGGGAAAACUUUGGUUUCCCAUUCCCAGAAGCAAAAAUUCAUCUACACAAAGUUCUUGAAAUUAUUACUGUUUAUUUUUUUUGCCUACCACGUUCUCUGAGCCACCUUAGUAGAGUUUAAAGCAUCGCUUCCCAAAAGAAGGAUAAUUUGAGCUGGCGUUCAUUUGGCUGGUUACAUACUGAGACAUCCAGUGUCAGAAAUUGAGAACAGGAGUUCCCAUCGUGGCUCAGUGGUAACAAACCCAACUAGUAUCCAUGAGGACUCGGGUUUGAUUCCUGGCCUCACUCAGUGGGUUAAGGAUCUGGCAUUGCCAUGAGCUGUGGUGUAGGUUGCAGGCGAGGCUCGGAUCUGGCAUUGCUGUGGCUGUGGGGCAGACCAGCAGCGGCAGCUCCCAUUCAACCCCUAGCCUGG